rnacentral:misc_RNA from 1 species
AACACCUCAAAGUCUUUUUUUCUUGAAAAGACCUUGGACUUGAGCAAUCCCAACUCUUCUUUCAGAAGAGGCGGGUUGCUUGAAAUGCAGGUGCAGCUGGACAUUCUCCUGAGCUAAAAGCAUAUUCAUUUAGUCCCGUCAAACGGAUUAUUACUUUUGCUGCAGCUAACAUAAAGGGAAUUUGACCAUUUUGGCUGACUGAUGCAGGAAUUUCACAAGAGUCUUCAAAACGCUCUUGUUAA